CCCAUUUUUGGCCGAGUGGUUAAGAUGACAGACUGCAAUGCAUGUGGCCAGGGUUCGAUCCCCGGUCAGAUGUGC